UGCAAGUCGAGCGAACUGAUUAGAAGCUUGCUUCUAUGACGUUAGCGGCGGACGGGUGAGUAACACGUGGGCAACCUGCCUGUAAGACUGGGAUAACUUCGGGAAACCGAAGCUAAUACCGGAUAGGAUCUUCUCCUUCAUGGGAGAUGAUUGAAAGAUGGUUUCGGCUAUCACUUACAGAUGGGCCCGCGGUGCAUUAGCUAGUUGGUGAGGUAACGGCUCACCAAGGCAACGAUGCAUAGCCGACCUGAGAGGGUGAUCGGCCACACUGGGACUGAGACACGGCCCAGACUCCUACGGGAGGCAGCAGUAGGGAAUCUUCCGCAAUGGACGAAAGUCUGACGGAGCAACGCCGCGUGAGUGAUGAAGGCUUUCGGGUCGUAAAACUCUGUUGUUAGGGAAGAACAAGUACGAGAGUAACUGCUCGUACCUUGACGGUACCUAACCAGAAAGCCACGGCUAACUACGUGCCAGCAGCCGCGGUAAUACGUAGGUGGCAAGCGUUAUCCGGAAUUAUUGGGCGUAAAGCGCGCGCAGGCGGUUUCUUAAGUCUGAUGUGAAAGCCCACGGCUCAACCGUGGAGGGUCAUUGGAAACUGGGGAACUUGAGUGCAGAAGAGAAAAGCGGAAUUCCACGUGUAGCGGUGAAAUGCGUAGAGAUGUGGAGGAACACCAGUGGCGAAGGCGGCUUUUUGGUCUGUAACUGACGCUGAGGCGC
rnacentral:rRNA from 2 species